ACGCUCGACACCUACGGGGGCAGCAGUGGGGAAUAUUGCACAAUGGGGGAAACCCUGAUGCAGCGACGCCGCGUGAGCGAAGAAGUAUUUCGGUAUGUAAAGCUCUAUCAGCAGGGAAGAAAAUGACGGUACCUGACUAAGAAGCCCCGGCUAACUACGUGCUAGCAGCCGCGGUAAUCUGAGCGGGCUGGCAAGGC
rnacentral:rRNA from 1 species